ensembl:lncRNA
GGAAUAGCUCUACUGAGUUUCAGUUACAUCUGGCUCUCACCUGGGUAGGCUGGAAAAGAUACAAGUCCCCCAAAUGUGUGAUUUUAAUUUGAAUGUGCAUAAGUACACUGGAUUAGCCACUCAUUGGAGUGUCAUUAUCCCAAAUCCAGAAAUAGAUAAAAGCACUCCCAGUUGUUACUGCCUACCAACAUAAAACAUACUUUAGGAUUAUAUUGUCAAUAGCGUGUUCUUGCUAGGGUUUUGGUUAACUAAUGCUAAAGUGGAAAGCUAAGGAAUGAGAUCAGCAGCCUUUAUGUAAGUAAUUGUGAAUGUGGGUUACAUUUUAUUUUCUCAAUCAGAUGUAAUAGCUCCCUACAGAAAUAUAUUCCUGACUUGAAUAUCAAUAGAUUUCUACUUGUUCUGUCAAAAAGAAACAAUUUUUCCCCUCACUUUUAGAAAGAUUGCUUUGAGGUCAAAUUGUUCAGGCUGUUCUGCUUUUUCCUCCCUUCUAGCCCUUCCUGCCCUCUCCUAUGCAUGAAUCCCAAACAUCAGCGAGAGAUUGCAGUUCUGUUACACGGGGCAAGCGGGAGAGGAGAGCUGCUGGCCAUUGAUGGAUGGACUGGAAGAGACGGGAACAGUUGGCACAAUGAAGAUGACAGUCCCAGGCUAAGACUAUUGUACAAAGCUUCAGAAGUCCUGAGGAUACACUGACGGGGAGUUUACAUCUGAAAAUGGAUAGAAUCCCUGCAACUUGUUCCUUCCCAAUUCUUCCUUUCUCAGCAUCCCUCUUUUUCAUCUUGUGCCUGGAAUUGAACAAACCAAAUCCAAAGAGGUUUUUGGAACAUUCCUAAAUCAGGGAUACUGUGAAGACAAAUGGUAAAUGUCUGUUACCCCAGCUGCUAAGUUAAUUACUGUAAUGGGAAACAUCUUGAGAGAAGCAUUGCAUAUGGUUAUUAGCAAUUAACCCACCACUCCAAAAAUCACAAUUCCUGCUAAUAACAGAACACAGCGCAGCCUUUCUAAUUACAAUCUCUGCACGAGAAUUUCUUUCUAUCAGAAGGGAAUGUUAAAUCCUCUAACUAGCUACGAUUUAAAAAGACUUGGAGAUACUGAGAAUUAGACAGAAAAAUGAAAAUGCGGACGGGUGGUGUGUCACUGACUCAGAGUUGUAGACAUGCUCAUUCAUAUGUGGAGACACACAGCAACUUUCACAACAUGUUGUGGGAAGACAAAAUCAUCAAUGAUUGUUCAUGGGGAGGGAAAUAUGCUUUAAAAUGAAGAGGAUAGUAUGAGACUUCACGAGAGAUGCCAACUUCUCUACAGAAUUUGUGAUCUCAGUGGUGUUGUAAACAAUAUGCUGAGUUUGGUAGUGCAUAGCAAAGGAUCGCUCUGGAAACGGUAAGAAUUUUCUGGUCAAUCAAAGAGGAGAACAAUGCAAACUACGUAUUUUCCAUCCUGCAGAAAGUCCGUCAGUACUACACGGAGGGCACGAGGUGUUCUUUUUCUGACAGUCUGUAUUCUGUGCAAUUGGCUUAGAUUAUAGCUCACCUGCACAAAGUCACCAAGGGGAAUCGACACUUUAGCUGCUCAGUUCAAAAGCUGGUUUAGCAGAGCAAGAUGGGAUUUAAUUUAUUCCUUUCACCAGGCAGGAAGAGAAAUCUUUUGUCAACAUGUUCAGUGCUCAGUUUGGUGGUGGGCAUGAUACAGUUUGUAGGUAUCAAGAUCAAAGAUAUGCAAUUGUAUGGCAAAUAAGUUUCAUGACAGUAACCGUGUCUGGUUGGUCACGGCAGGGACGUGUAAUAUAAAGGAGUCACUAAUGCUGUAUCCACUGCCAUUUUGUUCCUGACAUUUCCUGCUGCUACCACUGUAAGAACUAGAAUAAAUGAGUCUGCUUUUACCUCCGUAUUGUCUGU